rnacentral:rRNA from 1 species
GGGUGUUUAACUGGCGUGAUGUGGGACGUCCUACCGGUGGGCUUAGCCUCGCGAGGGGCGGCCCAACUAAUAUCCCGUCGCGGUGCUCUUUACUGAGUGUCGAGUCGGGCCGGUACGUUUACUUUGAACAAAUUAGAGUGCUUAAAGCAGGCUAUCCUCGCCUGAAUACUGCGUGCAUGGAAUAAUGGAAUAGGACCUCGGUUCUAUUUUGUUGGUUUUCGGAACCCCGAGGUAAUGAUUAAUAGGGACAGAUGGGGGCAUUCGUAUUGCGACGUUAGAGGUGAAAUUCUUGGAUCGUCGCAAGACGGACAGAAGCGAAAGCAUUUGCCAAAAAUGUUUUCAUUAAUCAAGAACGAAAGUUAGAGGUUCGAAGGCGAUCAGAUACCGCCCUAGUUCUAACCAUAAACGAUGCCAGCUAGCGAUCCGCCGAAGUUCCUCCGAUGACUCGGCGGGCAGCUUCCGGGAAACCAAAGCUUUUGGGUUCCGGGGGAAGUAUGGUUGCAAAGCUGAAACUUAAAGGAAUUGACGGAAGGGCACCACCAGGAGUGGAGCCUGCGGCUUAAUUUGACUCAACACGGGAAACCUCACCAGGCCCAGACACCGGAAGGAUUGACAGAUUGAUAGCUCUUUCUUGAUUCGGUGGGUGGUGGUGCAUGGCCGUUCUUAGUUGGUGGAGCGAUUUGUCUGGUUAAUUCCGAUAACGAACGAGACUCUAGCCUGCUAAAUAGGCGUACCUUAUGGUAUCGCGAAGGCCCCCGGCUUCGGCCGGUGGGUUUUUACUACCAACGUACAAACAAAUCUUCUUAGAGGGACAGGCGG